GCCUGUCUGGCGCCUUUUGUCUCCAACGUCUCUCUUCAGAUCCAACGGCUCUAUUUCCACUUUUCGAAACUCUCACCCGCCCUCUAGAUCUCUGUUCUCUCUCCUCCCCCAAUUUGAAUUUCCCACUCUCUCUCCUUAAAAUCCCCAAACUAAUCUAUUCAUAUCAUUUCUGUCACCACUUUUCUCGAAAAUGUCUUCUUCUUUUCCUUGACCGUCCCUUCUCUUAUCCACCCCACCAACACACACAAAACCACUUCUGGGUUUCCUUUCUCCAAUCCUUUCUUCUAUUGGGUUGAAGUUGCUAAUCAAAAUGGGAGGUUGUUUCAGCAAGAAAACCGUC
rnacentral:lncRNA from 1 species